rnacentral:lncRNA from 10 species
AGUAAGAGUGGGUGCAGGCAGGGCCUGAGUGGUCACUAGAAAUGAGAAAGCACAGUUGGUGCCAUCACAUACAUUCACCUCCUGCUUUAUUCUGAAGUUCAAGUAUGAGAAUACGUGUUGACAUACAAGCCAGCUAUGGUGCAGUCAGCCUCAGUUUCCAAAGCCGGAAAAGGAUCCUCUAGUAGCCACGGUGUGGCAGCUGCUCUGAACCAGGACCUGGACCCGGACCCAAAGUGCCAUGUCUUUAAUGUUAGCUCCCAGCGAUGCCAGAUGGGAUCAGCACAGCCCUGCCUCUGCUGCUAAUUGUUCCUCUAAAGUAAUCGCCAUGCGUUCUUUGGGCUUCAUCUUUAAAGGAAUGAAGCAACUGAGAUUAUUCUGGAAAACCUUUUGGCAGUUAGUGAAAUUAGAGUACAACUAAGAACAUUUUCAGACCUCCACUGUGGAUGACCUGGGUAUAAUCUCACAAAUCGAUGGGACUGCAAGGAUUGUAAACUGAAAUGAACAUGAUUAUACUCUGUUGGAAGAGCCUAAGAGGAAACUGAUGCCAUGAGUUUCAGAGAGUAAUGCUUAACCCCAGUUACACAGGAUGCCGUCUUGUGUUUCCUCUUGUUUAGUUACCCACUACAGUGAUUUUGUGAUCUGCUAAUGGGUUGCCACCCACAACCAUUGCUUUAGCACUUUUACUUCAAAUCAAUGAAGGAUUGAUAAAAGUUCUCCUGGUGUCUCCGCAGAGUGCCUUCCAGGAACAGAUCUUUGCAUAGAAUAUCAGUGGUUUCCUUUUUUGUUUCAAAUAGUGGUCAGAAAAUACCCAGUGUUGACUCACCAAGGCAAUCAGCUUCCUUUUUCCCUUUUUUUGUUUUUUUUUUAACAUUUUAUAUUUUUGC